rnacentral:rRNA from 1 species
AUGCGCAUGUUGAGAUGGAUGUGUGGCCACACAAGAAAGGAUCGGGUCCGGAAUAACGAUAUACGUGAUAGAGUAAGGGUAUCAUCAAUUGAAGAGAAGCUUGUGCAACACCAUCUGAGAUGGUUUGGGUAUAUACAACGUAGGCCUCCAGAAGCUCCAAUGCAUAGCGGAUGGUUAAAGCAUUUUGAUAAUGUCAAGAGAACUCGGGGUAGACCAAACAGACAUGGGAGAGAAAUACGUAAAAAGAGAUCUGAAGGACUCGAAUAUCACCAAAGAACUAGCCAUGGACAGAGAUGCGUGGAAGUUAGCUAUCCACGUGCCAGAACCAUGAGUUGGUUUCGAGAUCUUAUGGGUUUCAGCUCUAGCCUACCCCAACUUGUUUGGGACUAA